ACAGGAAUAGGCUUGAAAUAAUGCAUAUGGAAAAUCCUUUUCAGAGGUUGACACCUGCAGUUUGGAUGAAGAAGUAGCAACUCUUUUCCUUGCCACUGUAGCAUGUCCAGCAUGUUCCAGAGUCUUGGUUUUGAUAUAGGUAUUGAUUAAUAGUUUCAACAAUUGAUGAACUGCUGCUGGUCUGUGUCAGAUGUCUUAGUGGUCUUGGCAAUAAGCAUGGUCAUCCUGCAAAAUGAAGAUCCUCUCUGGG